rnacentral:rRNA from 1 species
UACGUAGGGGCCGAGCGUUGUCCGGAGUUAUUGGGCGUAAAGCGCGCGCAGGCGGCCUCGCGCGCCCGACGUGAAAGCCCCCGGCUUAACCGGGGAGGGUCGUUGGGGACGGCGGGGCUUGAGGGCGGGAGAGGUCGGUGGAAUUCCCGGUGUAGUGGUGAAAUGCGUAGAGAUCCGGAGGAACACCAGCGGCGAAGGCGGCGUCCUGGACUGGUACUGACGCUCAGGAGCGAAAGCGUGGGGAGCGAUCCGG